GGUCCCGCGUCCCAUUAGCUAGUUGGUAGGGUAACUGCCUACCAAGGCGACGAUGGGUAGCCGGCCUGAGAGGGUGACCGGCCACACUGGGACUGAGACACGGCCCAGACUCCUACGGGAGGCAGCAGUCGAGAGGCUUCGGCAAUGGGGGAAACCCUGACCGAGCGACGCCGCGUGGAGGAUGAAGUUUUUCGGAACGUAAAGUCCUGUCAUACGGGAUGUGACAGUACCGUAAGAGGAAGCUCCGGCUAACUCCGUGCCAGCAGCCGCGGUAAUACGGGGGGAGCGAGCGUUAUUCGGAUUCAUUGGGCGUAAAGGGUUCGUAGGCGGUCAGAUAAGUCAGGGGUGAAAUCUAACGGCUCAACCGUUAAAUUGCCUUUGAAACUAUUUGACUUGAGUACGAGAGAGGAAAGCGGAAUUCUUGGUGUAGCGGUGAAAUGCGUGGAU
rnacentral:rRNA from 1 species